AGCUGGGCCCUGUGCAACGGGAGCCUGUGAACCCCGCCAGGUCCGGAAGGAAGCAACGGUAAUAAUUUUUUCAUGUGUUGGAUGUUAUUCUUGGUGCUG
rnacentral:SRP_RNA from 1 species